rnacentral:sRNA from 1 species
GGAACAGUGGAAACUUGAAUGGAACAAGAGAAGCGUUGUGUAAACGAAUUACCUUGCUUACUCUGUUCUCCAUACCACGGUUGAUUCACGGGUCCAUUCAGGGGACCGAGUUUCGACCAGGGAAACAUGGAAAAUAAUGCAUCAUGCAAGGCGAGUUUCCUCCGUCGUCGUCGCCGUCGCCUAUGUGGUCGGAAUGGAGAAAAAGAAACGCUGAACGUUGGUUGGAAGUUGGUAGAAACUGUUGGUGAACACCGUUUAUAUUAUUCAAAUGGGUCAUCGAGUUACAGCAUGCAUCGCCAACCCCUCUCCACCCCUCAUCAUCACAGUGCAUCCCAUUUUGUAUGGCAUCCCAAACUAGUGUUUUGGGAAGAUGUCGAUUCUGC